GAUCCGGCUCAGGAUGAACGCUAGCUACAGGCUUAACACAUGCAAGUCGAGGGGAAACGGCAUCGAAAGCUUGCUUCCGAUGGGCGUCGACCGGCGCACGGGUGAGUAACGCGUAUCCAACCUGCCCACCACUUGGGGAUAACCUUGCGAAAGUAAGACUAAUACCCAAUGAUAUCUCUAGAAGACAUCUGAAAGAGAUUAAAGAUUUAUCGGUGAUGGAUGGGGAUGCGUCUGAUUAG
rnacentral:rRNA from 1 species